rnacentral:rRNA from 1 species
GAACCUUACCGAGGCCUUGACAGUGCGUAGGGAACCCGGGUGAAAGCCUGGGGCGCCCCCGCGAGGGGAGCCCUAGCACAGGUGCUGCAUGGCCGUCGUCAGCUCGUGCCGUGAGGUGUUGGGUUAAGUCCCGCAACGAGCGCAACCCCCGCCGUUAGUUGCCAGCGGUUCGGCCGGGCACUCUAACGGGACUGCCCGCGAAAGCGGGAGGAAGUGGGAUGACGUCAAAUCAUCAUGCCCCUUAUGUUCUGGGCUACACACGUGCUACAAUGGCCGGUACAGACGGACGCAAAGCCGCGAGGUGGAGCAAAUCCUAAAAAGCCGGUCUCAGUUCGGAUUGCAGGCUGCAAUUCGCCUGCAUGAAGUCGGAAUCGCUAGUAAUCGCAGGUCAGCAUACUGCGGUGAAUACGUUCCCGGGCCUU